rnacentral:rRNA from 1 species
GUGGGGAAUCUUCCGCAAUGGACGAAAGUCUGACGGAGCAACGCCGCGUGAGUGAAGAAGGUUCUCGGAUCGUAAAGCUCUUUCGUUAGGGACGAACGUGCUCUUUGUGAAUAAUGAGCAGUAAUGACGGUACCUAAAUAAGAAGCCACGGCUAACUACGUGCCAGCAGCCGCGGUAAUACGUAGGUGGCAAGCGUUGUCCGGAAUUAUUGGGCGUAAAGCGCGCGCAGGCGGGAUAUCAAGUCAGUCUUAAAAGUGCGAGGCUCAACCUCGUGAGGGGACAGAAACUGGUAUUCUUGAGUGUCGGAGAGGAAAGUGGAAUUCCAAGUGUAGCGGUGAAAUGCGUAGAGAUUUGGAAGAACACCAGUGGCGAAGGCGACUUUCUGGACGAUGUCUGACGCUGAGGCGCGAAAGCUAGGGGAGCGAACGGGAUUAGAAACCCCUGUAGUCC